rnacentral:rRNA from 1 species
ACGAACGCUGGCGGCGCGCCUAACACAUGCAAGUCGAACGAGCGAGAGAGAGCUUGCUUCUCGAGCGAGUGGCGAACGGGUGAGUAACGCGUGAGGAACCUGCCUCAAAGAGGGGGGACAACAGUUGGAAACGACUGCUAAUACCGCAUAAGCGCACAGCUUCGCAUGAAGCAGUGUGAAAAACUCCGGUGGUACAGGAUGGACCCGCGUCUGAUUAGCUUGUUGGUGAGGUAACGGCCCACCAAGGCGACGAUCAGUAGCCGGCCUGAGAGGGUGAACGGCCACAUUGGGACUGAGAUACGGCCCAGACUCCUACGGGAGGCAGCAGUGGGGAAUAUUGCACAAUGGGGGAAACCCUGAUGCAGCGACGCCGCGUGAGUGAAGAAGUAUUUCGGUAUGUAAAGCUCUAUCAGCAGGGAAGAAAGACAUGACGGUACCUGACUAAGAAGCCCCGGCUAACUACGUG